UACGGAGGGUCCAAGCGUUGUCCGGAAUCACUGGGUGUAAAGGGUGCGCAGGCGGGCCUAUAAGUCAGAGGUGAAAGCCACCGGCCUAACCGGUGAACUGCCUUUGAUACUGUAGGUCUUGAGUCACGGAGAGGAUAUCGGAAUUCGUGGUGUAGCGGUGAAAUGCGUAAAUAUCAGGAGGAAUACCGGCGGCGAAGGCGGAUAUCUGGCCGGGUACUGACGCUGAGGUACGAAAGCGUGGGGAGCAAACAGG
rnacentral:rRNA from 1 species